rnacentral:telomerase_RNA from 1 species
GGCCGAUGACAGAUCAACCUUUGACAAAUGGCUGUUUGACAGCUCGAAAUCACACAACGAGUAGAGGGGAUAUGGAGAAAAAGAAAAGAGAAGAGGGGGAAGAAAUGUUUGCAGCAUUCAACAAUAAUUCGAUCUAACGCCCGCCUUUUGUCCUCCCCUACUAUCUUCUCUACACCUUGACUCGGCGACAAAACCCCUCUGUUCGAACAGAAUAGGGUUGCGGUGUUGUCUUGUCGGUGUAGCCAGGGAAGGAGAGAAAGGGAGGAAAAAAAGGUAGCUGGGAAAAAAGCUUUAAAGCGGUGAUAGACGAUCCUAACCCUAAGUUGUUUUUUGCAGAACUCCAUCCUCCAUCUAUCCUCUUUCUUUCGCGAGCGAGUCUAGCUUGGAGAAUGACACGCCAUACAUCUCAUUCCACUUACGAGUGGAGUAGGGGAUUUGUGGUACUCUGCACUCGAAUCGCAUAACCUCCUCAACCGUUAUGUGAUGAGUUCUUUUUCACGAAGCUAUAAAAGGAUAUAGCUAUAUAAAGGGAUGCUUUGUUCAGGUUCUUCUUUGCCAACCCAGAAGAGGGAAAUGUAAGAACGGAUGCCCAAACUCUCUUUUCCCCCUAUCGCUCUUCUCUCUCUUUAUCUCCUCUACUCUUCGUUGUACAAUUGGGCAGGGGGUUUUUCUUGAGGCCCUCCUCUUCCCCACACCUUGACUCGGAAAGUUAGAAAGGAAAAGGGAAAAACACCAACUCUGCGGAGUCCCCAAACCCCCCCUCGGGUGGUGGUGUAUAGAGCUUCGUCGCUCGCCUUUCUUUUUUUUUUUUUUUCUUCUCAGCUCUUCGAUGGCUAGGUACAGGGGGUUUUGGAGGUGAAAAGUGUCAAUUUUUCUUCCCUUUGUAGGA